UGGUCUGCAACCCGACCACACGAAGCUGGAAUCGCUAGUAAUCGCGGAUCAGAAUGCCGCGGUGAAUACGUUCCCGGGUCUUGUACACACCGCCCGUCACACCAUGGGAGUCAGCAACGCCCGAAGUCAGUGACCCAACCUUUGAGGAGGGAGCUGCCGAAGGCGGGGCAGGUGACUGGGGUGAAGUCGUAACAAGGUAUC
rnacentral:rRNA from 1 species